rnacentral:rRNA from 1 species
GGAUAACCUGCCCUGUGGUGGGAAAUAACCCCGGGAAACUGGGGAUAAUGUCCCAUAGACUACGGAUACUGGAAUGUUCUGUAGUUCAAAGAUUUAUCGCCACAGGAUGGAUCUGCGGCCGAUUAGGUAGUUGUUGGGGUAACGGCCCAACAAGCCUUUGAUCGGUACGGGUUGUGGGAGCAAGAGCCCGGAGAUGGAUUCUGAGACACGAAUCCAGGCCCUACGGGGCGCAGCAGGCGCGAAAACUUUACAAUGCGGGAAACCGUGAUAAGGGAACUCCGAGUGUCCGUAAAUGCGGACUGUCCGUAUGUCUAAAAAGCAUGCGAAGAAAGGGCCGGGCAAGACCGGUGCCAGCCGCCGCGGUAAUACCGGCGGCUCGAGUGGUGGCCACUAUUACUGGGCUUAAAGCGUUCGUAGCUGGGUCGUUAAGUCUCUUGGGAAAUCUACCGGCUUAACCGAUAGGCGUCCAAGGGAUACUGGCGAUCUAGGGACCGGGAGAGGUGAGGGGUACUUCAGGGGUAGGAGUGAAAUCCUGUAAUCCUUGGGGGACCACCUGUGGCGAAGGCGCCUCACCAGAACGGCUCCGACAGUGAUGGACGAAAGCUGGGGGAGCAAACCGGAUUAGAUACCCGGGUAGUCCCAGCCGUAAACGAUGCGCGUUAGGUGUAUCGAUGACCACGAGUCAUCGAGGUGCCGAAGGGAAACCGUGAAUCGCGCCGCCUGGGAAGUACGGUCGCAAGGCUGAAACUUAA